UACGUAGGGGGCAAGCGUUGUCCGGAAUCAUUGGGCGUAAAGCGCGCGUAGGCGGCCCGGUAAGUCCGUUGUGAAAGUCAAAGGCUCAACCUUUGAAUGCCGAUGGAUACUGCCGGGCUGGAGUCCGGAAGAGGCGAGUGGAAUUCCUGGUGUAGCGGUGGAAUGCGCAGAUAUUGGGAGGAACACCAGCGGCGAAGGCGGCACUCUGGGCUGGUAUUGACGCUGAGGAGCGAAAGCGUGGGUAGCGAACAGG
rnacentral:rRNA from 1 species